CUGCUUCUGCAGCAUAUAUACUAAAAUUAAAGUGGUACACAGAAGAUUAGCAUGGUUCCUGCAAAGGAUGAUGUGCAAAUUAAAAAGGAAAAAGGAAAAAAA